AAUAGAUAGUGGCGCCAUCGUGCUGUAUUUGUGAACUAGUGCAAAAUUCGGCCUGGCAACAUCCAGAAUCGGAUUCAGCACAUUUUUUUACAUCUAAAAAACCAUGUGGCCAAAAUGGCUCAUAAAAUGCCGUUAGAAUUAAGAAACAGAGUCGUUUUUCGAUUUGGCCACUUAACUAUAUCAUCACAUCCUGCUAGAUCGUGCGUUGUGAAAUCGAUAGUGUAGCGUAGUGGUAAGAGGAUCGAUUUCAUGCCACGUAAACAUACUAUGGCAUGGCUGGCCGCUGCGUAGUGCUAGGCGUGCUACGCUAGGCAGUACUAACAAUUAACACUCGGUUCCCUUCCAGGUGCCGUUCUGCGCCCAACUGGUGAGCAAUGUCGCGUGUUGUGUGCAUCGGAUGGAGUGCUAUGCUGCAGUUAUAAUUUCAAUUGUGGCGACGACGCUCCCGCGGUGGGCUACGACGGACUGGUCGCCUCUUCGACAUCCGUGGCCAGAUAUAGUUCUAGUGCUAAUAGCGAUCAAACUGAAAGUAGUGUUACUAAUAAACAAUUUAGUGUAUCUGUACAAGUGGCUAACAAUAGUGCUCAGACUAUCGGCGUCAGUGACAUUGGGAGAAAUAAUAAGACUGAUAUGUCGGGGGGUUGAACUUUGCCGGCACGUAGCUGGUCUAACAUUCCUAGAGCCACCUGUGCAAUAGCGUAGAUUCGGCACAAACGUUGCCUGUUCUCUUCUGCCUGUCGCGGCUGCUUGCUAGGCCACCUCUCAAGUGUCUUCCUAGUUUAUAACAGUAGCCAGGCUGUUUUGUUAUGUCAAUGGCAGUUGCAUUUUGUCAGCUUCUAAAGAAGUAGGUUUUCACACUGGCGUUUGUAUUACCACAAUAUUAUCACUAGCGUACCGCCAUCUGUUUUUACACAUUUGCAAUUGAAGUGUCGAAUGAAUGUGUUAGAAAGAAGUAGUUAGUGUACUAAUUAAGAUAAGAAAAUACAAAGAGAAGAAAAUGCAUUCCGGUGUGACGAGAGCGACGACGCGACGAGAAGUUAAAAAUCUGCGCGGAAACGUUGGUAUGAAAUCUGCUUCUCGACGUCUAUAUCUGUUAUGUAAUCAAACAAAAGGGUUGAAGAAGGACCCGCAGGUUUGCUGCAAAAUGUAUGUGUAAAGAUCAAUUAUGUAUGUUAUAUAAAACUCUAGUCAAAUUAUUAGCUUGCUAAAACAUUCGGCAAGCUUAAUGUAUUUACAGUUAUAUAUAUUAUAUACCUAUAAAUAAUGGAAAAGCAUAUCUAGCUAAAUAAAAAAUUAUUGCAAUAUUGAAAUUGUGAUAUUGUUGAAUGAGACUAAUAAUUAAUGUAAUUUUCCAUUCAUUGUAAAUUAGUUCCUGAGUCUUUUAACGCUGCAAAUGCUCAGCAGUUUAAAACAAAUAAUAGUAAUACUAUUGUUAACAAUGUACUUAGCACAAAUUAUAAGAUUAUAUAAUAGGCUACCGCUGAACAACGAAUUGUUUAGCUCUUUUCAUAGACACUUUUAUUUUGUUCCCAAUUAUUAUUUAUUGCACAAAUGGCGCAGUAGAUACCUACAUUCUAACGAUAUUUUUUUUACCAAAAAAGGUCACUAUUGUAAAUAAAAUGUCGCUAUAAUAUUGUAUUAAUAGUCUUAAAUGUAGAAAACCUAAUUGGAAAAUUUUUCAAAAACAGAGCACAUAAUCAUAAUAGUUAUAGUACCUAAUUUUACUUUUCAGUAUUUUGUUUAUAUGUUUUUCAUCCUAGUCAACUAACAAGCUAGUUUCUCAUCCUAUGAAAACCGCUUCUUAAUGACGACGUUUCAUCCUUUGUUCGAUUAUAUCUUAUUUGUUACGACUAGAAUUUAUUACACUGUACAGAACAUUGCCAUAGUCCUUUGUUGUAAAGAUGUGUGCCAAUCAUUAUUACAAAUAAAUUAUAAUCAAGGA